GACGAACGCUGGCGGCGUGCCUAAUACAUGCAAGUCGAACGCAAAACUUUCACCGAAUGCUUGCAUUCACGAAAGUUUUGAGUGGCGAACGGGUGAGUGACACGUGGGUAACCUGCCCAGAAGAGGGGGAUAACACUUGGAAACAGGUGCUAAUACCGCAUAAUAACAAAAACCGCAUGGUUUUUGUUUGAAAGAUGGUUUUGCUAUCACUUCUGGAUGGACCCGCGGCGUAUUAGGUAGUUGGUAAGGUAAAGGCUUACCAAGGCAAUGAUACGUAGCCGAACUGAGAGGUUGAUCGGCCACAUUGGGACUGAGACACGGCCCAAACUCCUACGGGAGGCAGCAGUAGGGAAUCUUCCACAAUGGAUGAAAGUCUGAUGGAGCAACGCCGCGUGAGUGAAGAAGGUUUUCGGAUCGUAAAACUCUGUUGUUAGAGAAGAACGUGUGUGAGAGUAACUGCUCAUGCAGUGACGGUAUCUAACCAGAAAGCCACGGCUAACUACGUGCCAGCCGCCGCCGUAA
rnacentral:rRNA from 1 species